UUGGAGGGCAAGUCUGGUGCCAGCAGCCGCGGUAAUUCCAGCUCCAAUAGCGUAUAUUAAAGUUGUUGCAGUUAAAAAGCUCGUAGUUGAAUUUCGAGAUCAGUACGCUGGUCGUGCCUUCGGUAUGCACUGGUGUCACUGGUUUCUCCCUUCUGAAGAACUGUCAUGUCAUUAAGUUGGUGUGGCGGGGAAUCAGGACUGUUACUUUGAAAAAAUUAGAGUGUUUAAAGCAGGCUCGCGCUUGAAUACAUUAGCAUGGAAUAAUGAAAUAGGACGUUUGACCCUAUUUUGUUGGUUUCUAGGAUCGACGUAAUGAUUAAUAGGGAUAGUUGGGGGCAUUAGUAUUCAAUUGUCAGAGGUGAAAUUCUUGGAUUUAUUGAAGACUAACUACUGCGAAAGCAUUUGCCAAGGAUGUUUUCAUUAAUCAAGAACGAAAGUUAGGGGAUCGAAGACGAUCAGAUACCGUCGUAGUCUUAACCAUAAACUAUGCCGACUAGGGAUCGGAUGAUGUUAAUUUUUUAAUGACUCAUUCGGCGCCUUACGGGAAAC
rnacentral:rRNA from 1 species